AAACUCGGUUUUCGAACAUUUCGCUGCCCCAGGAGGGCAAUGGGCCCCUGUCCAAUUCAUCGCGACCUAACGAGCGGCCCCGGAGGUCCUGGCCCGCCCAUUCCAGAAGCUCUCUCUGCCUUGUAAAGCCGCCCACCUGGAGCCCAGAGGAGCAGGAACUCGGAGGAGAGCUUAUGCUCCUCGUGCCUGCAGUACCAGGGACGUGGACGCGCUGUCUUGGACCGUCUUACCACCCGCUUGGCCCUGAUGCCCACUCACGGGUGUCAUCCAGACAGUUGGCUGGGAUCUGGGGACUUCUUGUAACACCUGGGUUUUGUUUUCCUGACUUGACACCCGUGGACGAAGCAGCAGCCGUUUGCCUUCCUGCAGAAGAACUUGCCGUUACCCUGUGCUCUUGCGAGAGGCCCCAGCCCAGUGCGCAGAGCUAGUGAUUUUGCCAACUUCCUGGAUGUUCAUUUCUGGUUCUGCACAAAAGAGCCACAUUUCCUUUUGGAAUCGGGACCGGGAGACAGACAGCAGCAGGCACUGGAAAUUGUGAGUACUCCCCAGUCUUCCUCCAGCGAUGCUCUGACCCUGUCCGUCCAUCUGUCCUGCCUCCCAUGUCUUUCUCUGCCAGUUAACCUUCUGUGGGGCUCCACCACGAACCCCUCCUUCAGCCCGCAGCACCACGCUGACUGUUAGGAGAGGAGUCUCUGUGAUGUCUGUACGAACGUGGAUGGGAAAGGGGAGGGGGCAGAGCUCAGCCACGGCCGUGACUCCAGUUUUCAUUUUAAGGCUCCGAAAGAUGGCGAAAGUCAACGAAGCAAACUGGUUUAUUUCAGGGCGAACAGUGAGUCCCUACUGAAUUUACCUAAUAAAAUGAAUUUUAAAAUUUUCAUUUUCUCAUUCCAUUCCAGCAGAAAAUGAGUUUGCCUUUAUAAUGUCCAGAUCUUUCAAACUCUACU